rnacentral:rRNA from 1 species
AGAGUUUGAUCCUGGCUCAGGAUGAACGCUGGCGGCGUGCUUAACACAUGCAAGUCGAACGAAGCACUUUAACUUGAUUUCUUCGGAAUGAUUGUUCUUGUGACUGAGUGGCGGACGGGUGAGUAACGCGUGGGUAACCUGCCUCAUACAGGGGGAUAACAGUUAGAAAUGACUGCUAAUACCGCAUAAGCGCACAGUACCGCAUAGUACAGUGUGAAAAACUCCGGUGGUAUGAGAUGGACCCGCGUCUGAUUAGCUAGUUGGUGGGGUAACGGCCUACCAAGGCGACGAUCAGUAGCCGACCUGAGAGGGUGACCGGCCACAUUGGGACUGAGACACGGCCCAAACUCCUACGGGAGGCAGCAGUGGGGAAUAUUGCACAAUGGGCGAAAGCCUGAUGCAGCGACGCCGCGUGAACGAAGAAGUAUUUCGGUAUGUAAAGUUCUAUCAGCAGGGAAGAUAAUGACGGUACCUGACUAAGAAGCACCGGCUAAAUACGUGCCAGCAGCCGCGGUAAUACGUAUGGUGCAAGCGUUAUCCGGAUUUACUGGGUGUAAAGGGAGCGCAGGCGGUACGGCAAGUCUGAUGUGAAAGCCCGGGGCUCAACCCCGGUACUGCAUUGGAAACUGUCGAACUAGAGUGUCGGAGGGGUAAGCGGAAUUCCUAGUGUAGCGGUGAAAUGCGUAGAUAUUAGGAGGAACACCAGUGGCGAAGGCGGCUUACUGGACGAUAACUGACGCUGAGGCUCGAAAGCGUGGGGAGCAAACAGGAUUAGAUACCCUGGUAGUCCACGCUGUAAACGAUGAAUACUAGGUGUCGGGACCCACAGGGUUUCGGUGCCGCAGCAACGCAAUAAGUAUUCCACCUGGGGAGUACGUUCGCAGAUGAAACUCAAAGGAAUUGACGGG